AUUUAAGGACUAAUUAAAUUUGGUCGCUAAAAAUAAUCUUUUAGGGACAAUUUUAAAAGCAUGAUAAUUUACAUAUAAGAUUGUAAAAAUAACUAUUAAUAUUCUCACUUAAUAUUUACAUAAUUUUUUUAGACCAAUAAAUUUGGUUGCUAAUAUGUUAUUAAUAUCUUUAGGGACCAAAUAUUUCCGUCAUUAUCCAUUAAAAACAUUUUGGGACGAAAUAUUUUUAUCAUUUUAACGAUUAAAAAGUCGGGGCCACACUUCAGUCAUAACUUGCUCAUUCCCUCCUCUUCAACGGGUUGCUCAAUCUUCAGCCCUAAAGUUGAGAGCUCCAAGGCAGAUUGGGAGCUCAUUGUCUUCAAAUUUUGGUGCCUCUCUCUCGCUCUCUCUCUGUAAUCGAUCUCCGCAAUCAACCUGUAAGAGCUCCAAUUCGAACUUUCAAUUUCUUAUCGUAAUCGAUCUCCGUAAUCGACCUGUAUCCUGAUACGAAAGAUGAGGCAAUUGCUGAGGCUUGCCUUGUUUGUUGUGGAAACUGCAAUUGCAAAGCAUUCUUACGUUUAGAUGGAUCUCUUAAAGUCAGUCAGUUUUCUUUGCUCCAGACAUUUCACGAUCUGUUCUAUCAGUGCCUAUUCUAGAUCUCCUCCCUCCGAAGCACGGACACCUCUCCGGAGGUCAUGUACUGAUGUUGGACAUGUGUUGGACACAGACAUGUGCUGGACAUGCUCUGGACACAUUUCAGACAUGCUGGAGAGACUUGGCCACACUGUGUCAGUUGGGACAUGAUGGGGACAUGUUGUAGGCACGUGGGGACACACUGCGACCUAUGAGAUCAGGCAAUUAUUUGCUAGUUGUAUGUUUGUUUGGCCAGGGUUAUCAUUAGUAGCAUUAGAGCUACAAAAGGCAGCUUGUGAAAAGGAUGAGCGUGUUUAUUGCAACUACUGUAAAACUUCUGUUGUUGAUUUCCACAGAAGCUGUCCAAACUGUUUUUAUGACCUUUGCCUUACUUGUUGCCGGGAGGUCCGUGAUGGUCACUUGCAGGGAGGUGGGAAGGAAGUAAUCUUAUUAUACAAUAUUUUCUUAUUUGGUUAGUUAAACACAUUUUCGAUAGCUAUACAAGAGCUGAAAAAGCAUCAGCUGAGCACUGAUGCCUCAGGUGUGCUACUUGGUGCUUGUUUUUCUAUUUUCUUAUUUGGUUAGUUAAACACAUUUUCGAUGACAAAAUUAAGAUCUAAGUAGUGUUUGGAGCAUAUUAAACAAAUUUUCAGAUGUUUGCUUCAUAUAUGUAUGACAAAAGAUCUAAGUAGUGUUUGACUUUAUAUUAAACUAUGUUUGCUUCAUACCCGUAUGGCUCCAAGGGCAUCAAAUCUUAUUAUACAAUGAGUUUAGUUAACCUAAAAAUUUGUGGUCAAUGGUUGUCUUUGGCAUGUUGUCAAUAUGCCACAAAAUUCGAACAAAAGUCAGUGUUCCUUUAUGAAGUAGCUGCAAGUCAUUUUUGUGAUAUCAUUGGCUUUGUGUGAAUUCUUGUUUUUUUUUUUUUUGAAAAGUGUUCCUUCCACAACCAGCUACAUGGAAUUCCAUUGUCCACCCGACUAUGAUUUUUCCUGCAUGCACGAGGGGAAAUUUGACAAUGUUAGAAGUUGUAGUUGUCUUCUUCUGAAACCUGCUUCUGCAUUUUGCUCUUUCCUCUUGUUCAUUAACAUUGCGGUGUUCUCAUUUCCUCUUAGAAUUGAAGAUAUAUUCUCAUUAAGUGGGU